rfam:Thermofilum adornatus chromosome, complete genome.
GCGUACGCUCAUAGUGCCGAGGCAACACCGGAUCCCAUCAGAACUCCGAAGUUAAGCUCGGCACGCGCGUCCAAGUAGUGGGGUCUGCGGCCCCGCGAACGGCGCGUGGCGUACGCG